rnacentral:rRNA from 1 species
GGCGCACGGGUGAGUAACGCGUAUGCAACCUACCUAUAACACAAUGAUAGCUCCCGGAAACGGGAAUUAAUACUUGAUGACAUUCAAAGAUGGCAUCAUCAAUGAAUCAAAGUUCCGGCGGUUAUAGAUGGGCAUGCGUGACAUUAGCUAGUUGGUGAGGUAGAGGCUCACCAAGGCGACGAUGUCUAGGGGGUCUGAGAGGAUGAUCCCCCACACUGGUACUGAGACACGGACCAGACUCCUACGGGAGGCAGCAGUGAGGAAUAUUGCGCAAUGGAGGAAACUCUGACGCAGCCAUCCCGCGUGCAGGAUUGACGGCCCUAUGGGUUGUAAACUGCUUUUCUAUACCAAGAAACACCGAUACGUGUAUCGGUUUGCCGGUAGUAUAGGAAUAAGCAUCGGCUAACUCCGUGCCAGCAGCCGCGGUAAUACGGAGGAUGCAAGCGUUAUCCGGAAUCACUGGGUUUAAAGGGUGCGCAGGCGGAAUAGUAAGUCAGAGGUGAAAGCCCACAGCUCAACUGUGGAAUUGCCUUUGAUACUGUUAUUCUUGAGUGUAGUUGAAGUAGGCGGAAUAUAGCAUGUAGCGGUGAAAUGCAUAGAUAUGCUAUAGAACACCAAUCGCGAAGGCAGCUUGCUAAACUAUAACUGACGCUGAGGCACGAAAGCGUGGGGAGCGAACAGGAUUAGAUACCCUGGUAGUCCACGCCGUAAACUAUGAACACUCGCUGUUGGCAAUACACAGUCAGCGGCUGAGCGAAAGCGUUAAGUGUUCCACCUGGGAAGUACGAUCGCAAGGUUGAAACUCAAAGGAAUUGACGGGGGCCCGCACAAGCGGAGGAGCAUGUGGUUUAAUUCGAUGAUACGCGAGGAACCUUACCUGGGCUUAAAUGUAUAUUGACGUACUGAGAAAUCAGUAUUUCUUCGGACAAUUUACAAGGUGCUGCAUGGUUGUCGUCAGCUCGUGCCGUGAGGUGUCGGGUUAAGUCCCAUAACGAGCGCAACCCCUACUUCUAGUUACCAGCAUUUCGGAUGGGGACUCUAGAGGAACUGCCUACGCAAGUAGAGAGGAAGGUGGGGAUGACGUCAAAUCAGCACGGCCCUUAUGUCCAGGGCUACACACGCGCUACAAUGGCCGGUACAGAGGGCAGCUACAUAGCAAUAUGAUGCUAAUCUC